AGAAAUUUAGUUAAGUUAUAACUCUGGUCUGUCAGUCCAGAAUCGCGAAAUAAAUACUUCGCAAUUUCUU
rnacentral:tRNA from 1 species